AGUGGCGGACGGGUGAGUAACGCGUGAGAAUCUGCCUUGGGGUCGGGGACAACCACUGGAAACGGUGGCUAAUACCGGAUAAGCCGAUUGGUGAAAGAUUUAUUGCCCGAAGAGGAGCUCUCGUCUGAUUAGCUAGUUGGUGAGGUAAGAGCUCACCAAGGCAGCGAUCAGUAGCUGGUCUGAGAGGACGAUCAGCCACACUGGGACUGAGACACGGCCCAGACUCCUACGGGAGGCAGCAGUGGGGAAUUUUCCGCAAUGGGCGAAAGCCUGACGGAGCAAGACCGCGUGAGGGAGGAAGGCUCUUGGGUUGUAAACCUCUUUUCUCAGGGAAGAAGCUCUGACGGUACCUGAGGAAUCAGCCUCGGCUAACUCCGUGCCAGCAGCCGCGGUAAUACGGAGGAGGCAAGCGUUAUCCGGAAUUAUUGGGCGUAAAGCGUCCGCAGGUGGCGAUUCAAGUCUGCUGUCAAAGCACGGGGCUUAACUCCGUAAAGGCAGUGGAAACUGAAUAGCUAGAGUGCCGUAGGGGUAGAGGGAAUUCCCGGUGUAGCGGUGAAAUGCGUAGAGAUCGGGAAGAACAUCGGUGGCGAAAGCGCUCUACUGGACGGCAACUGACACUCAGGGACGAAAGCUAGGGGAGCGAAUGGGAUUAGAUACCCC
rnacentral:rRNA from 1 species